UACAGAGGUCCCAAGCGUUGUUCGGAUUUACUGGGCGUAAAGGGCGCGUAGGCGGCGCAACAAGUCACUUGUGAAAUCUCCGGGCUUAACCCGGAGCGGCCAAGUGAUACUGUCGUGCUAGAGUGCGGAAGGGGCUACUGGAAUUCUCGGUGUAGCGGUGAAAUGCGUAGAUAUCGAGAGGAACACCUGCGGCGAAGGCGGGUAGCUGGGCCGACACUGACGCUGAGGCGCGAAAGCCAGGGGAGCGAACGGG
rnacentral:rRNA from 1 species